AUUGAACGCUGGCGGCAGGCUUAACACAUGCAAGUCGAGCGGAGAGAGGUAGCUUGCUACUGAUCUUAGCGGCGGACGGGUGAGUAAUGCUUAGGAAUCUGCCUAUUAGUGGGGGACAACAUUUCGAAAGGAAUGCUAAUACCGCAUACGUCCUACGGGAGAAAGCAGGGGAUCUUCGGACCUUGCGCUAAUAGAUGAGCCUAAGUCGGAUUAGCUAGUUGGUGGGGUAAGGGCCUACCAAGGCGACGAUCUGUAGCGGGUCUGAGAGGAUGAUCCGCCACACUGGGACUGAAAAACGGCCCAGAAUCCUACGGGAGGCAGCAGUGGGGAAUAUUGGACAAUGGGCGCAAGCCUGAUCCAGCCAUGCCGCGUGUGUGAAGAAGGCCUUAUGGUUGUAAAGCACUUUAAGCGAGGAGGAGGCUACUUUAGUUAAUACCUAGAGAUAGUGGACGUUACUCGCAGAAUAAGCACCGGCUAACUCUGUGCCAGCCGCCGCAGUAAAAC
rnacentral:rRNA from 1 species